ACAAGUGCAUCAGCAAAACCUCAAAACUUGGGGCAAAAUAAUACGAAAUGGAGUACAGCACUCCUGAUGCAAAGACCCA